GACAGAGGUGGCGACCGUUGUUCGGAAUCACUGGGCCUAAAGCGCGUGUAGGCGGCAUCGUAAGUCGGGUGUGAAAUCCCUCGGCCCAACCGAGGAAUUGCGCCCGAAACUACCUUGCUUGAGGACCAGAGGGGAGCCUGGAAUUCCUGGUGGAGCGGUGAAAUGCGUUGAUAUCAGGAGGAACACCGGCGGCGAAGGCGAGGCUCUGGCUGGUUACUGACGCUGAGACGCGAAAGCUAGGGGAGCAAACGGG
rnacentral:rRNA from 1 species